AACUUUGCCCAAGUUAUGUCAACCAGGCCCCAAUACAAGUGGGCAAUGGGAGGAAGGGAUUGUACUGAUCUAACAAUAUAUUUUUAAAUUCAAAUGUUAGGUUAUGCCAAAAACAUAAUCCCAUGUAGGCAAGACCUACAUUUUUAGUCCUUAGGGCUGUGGAGAAAGUGUGACUCAAGUGUAUUGAAAAGGCUUAGAUACCAGAAGGCAAAUAAAAAUAACCCCAGUUGUGGAUUUUUUUUUUCCAAUUUCAUUAUUUUUGUGCCCAUCUCAAGGUUCUGGGGGCCUGAACUCUGGAUUUUUGAGCCCUCUGGGAUGGCAGAAGUAUUGACUAUAAUUGGUACAGGGACUGUGCUUACUUAUGUGUUCAUACAGAACUCAGUACUAAAACGCUUCCACCCAAAUAGUCUUUCUGGUCCUGCUACAGUGCAAAUAAAGAAUUAGUAUUAGUAAAACACACCCAUCCCACUUCUAGGUGAACACUUAAUACAUAUCCACUAUCUCUGCCCAUCUCCCCUCUUCAGAUUAGAGCUAUAUCCUUCCACUGUUUGCCUUUAUUUUCUCAGAAGUCCUUAUCCUGACAUUUUUGGAAGUGAGAAGGUGACAAAUCUAGACUGUAUGGUGAGUGUGGUAGGACAGUCCAGCCAAAAUUAACAGUAUACUCCACUGUCUUCAAAUUGGUAUGGGGCCUUGCAUUGUUGUGUUGCAAGAGAAAGGUUGUUUUCUUCUCCUGCCUGUCUCUGGAACGCAUCACCUUCAGCUUGUCAUGAUGUUGUGGUCAGAGUAGCACUCAUAUUUCAGAAUGUCUGUAAUAAACAGAAUUAGCAAAGUUUUAUCCCCAUUCAUGAUUUUUUUAAAAACAAAUAUCAAAUGUAAAAUGUUUAUUGUGGUAUCACUAUCAGCAUAGAAUCUGGUUGCUAUUCAAUUAAUAAGUCUUCCAACCUCUCUUUUUAUUAUGUAUGCUGCAAAAUUUUAAGGGCACAACGCUAUCAAUGCAGGUGUUCAGUUUAGUAUCACAACUUCAUAGGAAUGAUCCCAGUAGUUCAGGUGUAUUUAGAAAACUUCAAAUCCACAUAUUUUGUGCCAGAUUUGAGGGGGCAUAGUUAUUAUAAAGAACAUUACAAACUGAAAUAAUGCUUUGAACUCAGCACUUUUUUUCUGUUUCUCUUGCUCUUCAUCAACCCUAAUAACUAGUAUGGCAUUUUGUCUUAAGAGACUCACUUUUAAAAUAGCCCUUCAAGGAAGUUUAGAAAAAACAGUUCAGAUAUUAGAGUGUAAAUGCAAACAAGGCCACAUGUAGAUGUUUUUUUUUCCACACCACUGCCUUAUCAGUAAUAUGUUUUUUCCAUAGCAGUUCCUAUAGGAAAAUCUGAUGUUCUUUGCUUUAUAAUUGCUGUCUUUAUCAUGGCUGGGGGGAGGGAAAGUGUUGUUUUGGUGUGAAUUAUUGCUUCAGCAAUAAUAAAAGGUGAUAUUAAAAUGUCACUGCAGUCUUUUAAAUGCUUGUUUUCCAUGAAAAGAAUGAUUUUUUUUUUCAUUUUUACAGUUCUUAACUGCUAAUAAUAACUGAGCUUGUUUUGAUGACGGACGAAUUAAAAUGACGUUUUGACAACAACUCCCCAUAAUCAAGCAGCAUUUGCCCUCUGUUCCUCUUUGUAAUUAUCACAAUCUUUUUAUUUUCCUCAUCCAUUCUGGGGGCUGUGCAAAGAUAACAACUGAAGGCCAAGCUCUUCUAAGGCUAAGAAAUGCACUGAGCUUCCUGCUUGGAAGAAUCAUAGAAUGGCUUGGGUUGGAAGGGACCUCAAGGAUCAUCUAGUUCCAACCCCGCUGCAGCUGGGGUUAUUUAGCUCCUGCAUCUCAAAUACUGAGCCAGAGCACCUGGGGCCAGAGCACCAGUGCCCGGCAGUGAAAGAGAUCACAUAUUAUCUGCAGUCCUAGUAGAGGGUGGCCUGCGGUGGUCAAUGAAGCUGACCACUGUGGUGGUCAAUGACCUUGGUGAUACACCUGCUAUUUUGGCAGCUGGUUGGAGUGUGUGCCUCUGGAAUACAACCUACAUUAUUUUAAGUAUGUAUCUCUGCCAGGAAAGCACAGUGUGCUCCCAAAUCUGAGAGCAGCCAACGGCUCAAAGAAUGCAUGGUUGGAAGACUCUGCUU
ensembl:lncRNA